rnacentral:lncRNA from 1 species
UUUUAUGCUGGGGUUUGAUGAAGAAUGGACAGCUGUGUAGGCCUGCAACUGGAUAAAAAGGGAAUGACCGAAGGAUUGGGGAAGAAAAUACUCCCCCUGCUGAUGCUCCUUUGGUUCUACUUGGGAGUGAAGCUCACAAGAGGAGGGACUGCAAUAAACGUUCCCCAGAUGAUGCAGAGGUCUCUCUCUGCUGACAGUUAAUACCUUGCCUCCAAGCCUGAAUCGCCUUCCUGUCUGCGGGGUGUCUGAACGAACACAGCAAGAUGUGCAGGUCACUGAGUUAGAAGAAGUCGGCAGGGCCUAAGGCCUUCUGCAAGGUGUGACUCUCUCCCUCCAUACUGAGAACAUUUUGAAGUGACUUCAGAGGCUGCAGGGCUUGGGAAGUCCCAUGAGAACCGCUCCCCUUUCCCAAGGCACCGACAUGGCCUGUAGCCAGGCAUUGCUGUUUCUCAGCAGACUGA